GAACUACAUUUUGCUUAGUGGCUUCUGUUCUACCCAGAAGAGUACACAAACAUCAGCAGACUCUCUCUACAUCUGAAGAAGGGUGUUUGUGCCUGAAAUCUUGUACAGAAU